ACACUCCUACGGGAGGCAGCAGUGGGGAAUUUUGGACAAUGGGGGCAACCCUGAUCCAGCAAUGCCGCGUGAGUGAAGAAGGCCUUCGGGUUGUAAAGCUCUUUUGUCAGGGAAGAAACGGUGGUGGCGAAUAACUACUACUAAUGACGGUACCUGAAGAAUAAGCACCGGCUAACUACGUGCCAGCAGCCGCGGUAAUACGUAGGGUGCAAGCGUUAAUCGGAAUUACUGGGCGUAAAGCGUGCGCAGGCGGUUGUGUAAGUCAGAUGUGAAAUCCCCGGGCUCAACCUGGGAAUUGCAUUUGAGACUGCACGGCUAGAGUGUGUCAGAGGGGGGUAAAAUUCCACGUGUAGCAGUGAAAUGCGUAGAUAUGUGGAGGAAUACCGAUGGCGAAGGCAGCCCCCUGGGAUAACACUGACGCUCAUGCACGAAAGCGUGGGGAGCAAACAGGAUUAGAUACCCGAGUAGUCC
rnacentral:rRNA from 1 species